CAAUAGCGUAUAUUUAAGUUGUUGCAGUUAAAAAGCUCGUAGUUGGAUUUCGGUUAAGAGCGACCGGUCCGCCGUUUGGUGUGCACUGGUUGGUUUUAACUUCCUGUAGAGGACGUGCUCUGGGUUUAACGACCUGGACUCGGAGUCUACGUGGUUACUUUGAAAAAAUUAGAGUGUUCAAAGCGGGCUUACGCUUGAAUAUUUCAGCAUGGAAUAACACUAUAGGACUCCUGUCCUAUUUCGUUGGUCUCGGGACGGGAGUAAUGAUUAAGAGGAACAGUUGGGGGCAUUCGUAUUUCAUUGUCAGAGGUGAAAUUCUUGGAUUUAUGAAAGACGGACUUCUGCGAAAGCAUUUGCCAAGGAUGUUUNCAUUA
rnacentral:rRNA from 1 species